UACGAAGGGGGCUAGCGUUGCUCGGAAUUACUGGGCGUAAAGGGCGCGUAGGCGGACAGUUUAGUCAGAGGUGAAAGCCCAGGGCUCAACCUUGGAACUGCCUUUGAUACUGACUGUCUUGAGUUCGGGAGAGGUGAGUGGAAUGCCGAGUGUAGAGGUGAAAUUCGUAGAUAUUCGGCGGAACACCAGUGGCGAAGGCGACUCACUGGCCCGAUACUGACGCUGAGGCGCGAAAGCGUGGGGAGCAAACAGG
rnacentral:rRNA from 2 species